ensembl:rRNA 5S_rRNA 5S ribosomal RNA
GUUUCUGGCUAUACCACCCAAAUGUGACUGAUCUUAUCUGAUCUCAGAAACUAAGCAGAUGUACUUGGAUAGUAGAACGGCUGGGGCCUAAAAACUGGAUACA